GAUUAAGUUAUUAAGGGCGCACGGUGGAUGCCUUGGCACUAGAAGCCGAUGAAGGACGUUACUAACGACGAUAUGCUUUGGGGAGCUGUAAGUAAGCUUUGAUCCAGAGAUUUCCGAAUGGGGAAACCCAGCAUGAGUUAUGUCAUGUUAUCGAUAUGUGAAUACAUAGCAUAUCAGAAGGCACACCCGGAGAACUGAAACAUCUUAGUACCCGGAGGAAGAGAAAGAAAAUUCGAUUCCCUUAGUAGCGGCGAGCGAAACGGGAAGAGCCCAAACCAACAAGCUUGCUUGUUGGGGUUGUAGGACACUCUAUACGGAGUUACAAAGGACGACAUUAGACGAAUCAUCUGGAAAGAUGAAUCAAAGAAGGUAAUAAUCCUGUAGUCGAAAAUGUUGUCUCUCUUGAGUGGAUCCUGAGUACGACGGAGCACGUGAAAUUCCGUCGGAAUCUGGGAGGACCAUCUCCUAAGGCUAAAUACUCUCUAGUGACCGAUAGUGAACCAGUACCGUGAGGGAAAGGUGAAAAGCACCCCGGAAGGGGAGUGAAAUAGAACCUGAAACCGUGUGCUUACAAGUAGUCAGAGCCCGUUAAUGGGUGAUGGCGUGCCUUUUGUAGAAUGAACCGGCGAGUUACGAUUUGAUGCAAGGUUAAGCAGUAAAUGUGGAGCCGUAGCGAAAGCGAGUCUGAAUAGGGCGUUUAGUAUUUGGUCGUAGACCCGAAACCAGGUGAUCUACCCUUGGUCAGGUUGAAGUUCAGGUAACACUGAAUGGAGGACCGAACCGACUUACGUUGAAAAGUGAGCGGAUGAACUGAGGGUAGCGGAGAAAUUCCAAUCGAACCUGGAGAUAGCUGGUUCUCUCCGAAAUAGCUUUAGGGCUAGCCUCAAGUGAUGAUUAUUGGAGGUAGAGCACUGUUUGGACGAGGGGCCCCUCUCGGGUUACCGAAUUCAGACAAACUCCGAAUGCCAAUUAAUUUAACUUGGGAGUCAGAACAUGGGUGAUAAGGUCCGUGUUCGAAAGGGAAACAGCCCAGACCACCAGCUAAGGUCCCAAAAUAUAUGUUAAGUGGUAAAGGAUGUGGCGUUGCCCAGACAACUAGGAUGUUGGCUUAGAAGCAGCCAUCAUUUAAAGAGUGCGUAAUAGCUCACUAGUCGAGUGACACUGCGCCGAAAAUGUACCGGGGCUAAACAUAUUACCGAAGCUGUGGAUUGUCCUUUGGACAAUGGUAGGAGAGCGUUCUAAGGGCGUUGAAGCAUGAUCGUAAGGACAUGUGGAGCGCUUAGAAGUGAGAAUGCCGGUGUGAGUAGCGAAAGACGGGUGAGAAUCCCGUCCACCGAUUGACUAAGGUUUCCAGAGGAAGGCUCGUCCGCUCUGGGUUAGUCGGGUCCUAAGCUGAGGCCGACAGGCGUAGGCGAUGGAUAACAGGUUGAUAUUCCUGUACCACCUAUAAUCGUUUUAAUCGAUGGGGGGACGCAGUAGGAUAGGCGAAGCGUGCGAUUGGAUUGCACGUCUAAGCAGUAAGGCUGAGUAUUAGGCAAAUCCGGUACUCGUUAAGGCUGAGCUGUGAUGGGGAGAAGACAUUGAGUCUUCGAGUCGUUGAUUUCACACUGCCGAGAAAAGCCUCUAGAUAGAAAAUAGGUGCCCGUACCGCAAACCGACACAGGUAGUCAAGAUGAGAAUUCUAAGGUGAGCGAGCGAACUCUCGUUAAGGAACUCGGCAAAAUGACCCCGUAACUUCGGGAGAAGGGGUGCUCUUUAGGGUUAACGCCCAGAAGAGCCGCAGUGAAUAGGCCCAAGCGACUGUUUAUCAAAAACACAGGUCUCUGCUAAACCGUAAGGUGAUGUAUAGGGGCUGACGCCUGCCCGGUGCUGGAAGGUUAAGAGGAGUGGUUAGCUUCUGCGAAGCUACGAAUCGAAGCCCCAGUAAACGGCGGCCGUAACUAUAACGGUCCUAAGGUAGCGAAAUUCCUUGUCGGGUAAGUUCCGACCCGCACGAAAGGCGUAACGAUUUGGGCACUGUCUCAACGAGAGACUCGGUGAAAUCAUAGUACCUGUGAAGAUGCAGGUUACCCGCGACAGGACGGAAAGACCCCGUGGAGCUUUACUGUAGCCUGAUAUUGAAAUUCGGCACAGCUUGUACAGGAUAGGUAGGAGCCUUUGAAACGUGAGCGCUAGCUUACGUGGAGGCGCUGGUGGGAUACUACCCUAGCUGUGUUGGCUUUCUAACCCGCACCACUUAUCGUGGUGGGAGACAGUGUCAGGCGGGCAGUUUGACUGGGGCGGUCGCCUCCUAAAAGGUAACGGAGGCGCUCAAAGGUUCCCUCAGAAUGGUUGGAAAUCAUUCAUAGAGUGUAAAGGCAUAAGGGAGCUUGACUGCGAGACCUACAAGUCGAGCAGGGUCGAAAGACGGACUUAGUGAUCCGGUGGUUCCGCAUGGAAGGGCCAUCGCUCAACGGAUAAAAGCUACCCCGGGGAUAACAGGCUUAUCUCCCCCAAGAGUUCACAUUGACGGGGAGGUUUGGCACCUCGAUGUCGGCUCAUCGCAUCCUGGGGCUGUAGUCGGUCCCAAGGGUUGGGCUGUUCGCCCAUUAAAGCGGUACGCGAGCUGGGUUCAGAACGUCGUGAGACAGUUCGGUCCCUAUCCGUCGUGGGCGUAGGAAAUUUGAGAGGAGCUGUCCUUAGUACGAGAGGACCGGGAUGGACAUACCUCUGGUGUACCAGUUGUCGUGCCAACGGCAUAGCUGGGUAGCUAUGUGUGGACGGGAUAAGUGCUGAAAGCAUCUAAGCAUGAAGCCCCCCUCAAGAUGAGAUUUCCCAACUUCGGUUAUAAGAUCCCUCAAAGAUGAUGAGGUUAAUAGGUUCGAGGUGGAAGCAUGGUGACAUGUGGAGUUGACGAAUACUAAUCGAUCGAAGACUUAAUCAA
rnacentral:rRNA from 1 species